rnacentral:misc_RNA from 1 species
AAAAGAUACUUGAUGAUUUCUUUUACAGCUGAGCACGACAUAUGACUUGUAUAUUUAGUGAUGCUACAGAGUAUAUCUAAUUGGAAGGCUUGUUUUAGUAAGUUUUUGCCCUGGGAGGGGGGGAGGUCAUAAUGUAUUUAACAACUUUAUUAUGGAUGUAGCCCUAGAGGAUGAACUAGAAACUAUUCUGCUCAUCCGUUUGCUUAUUUUUGGUUUAUUUUUUAGAUGCCAUGAAAACCUAAAAA